rnacentral:rRNA from 1 species
CCUACGGGGGGCAGCAGUGGGGAAUAUUGCGCAAUGGGCGAAAGCCUGACGCAGCGACGCCGCGUGAGGGAUGAAGGUCUUCGGAUCGUAAACCUCUGUCAGCAGGGAAGAACGGUCACUGUGCUAAUCAGCAGUGCAUUGACGGUACCUGCAAAGGAAGCACCGGCUAAUUCCGUGCGAGCAGCAGCGGUAAUACGGAGGGUGAGAGCGUUAAUCGGAGUUACUGGGCGGAAGGGGCUCGUAGGCGGUAUGUCAAGUCAAGGGUGAAAUCCCCGGGCUCAACGUGGGAACUGCAGUUUGAACUGGCAAACUGGAGUGUGUGAGAGGAUAGUGGAAUUCCUGGUGUAGGAGUGAAAUCCGUAGAUAUGUGGAAGAACAUCAGUGGCGAAGGCGACUAUCUGGCACAUAACUGACGCUGAGGAGCGAAAGCGUGGGUAGCAAACAGGAUUAGAUACCCUAGUAGUC